UGGGGAAUAUUGCGCAAUGGGGGAAACCCUGACGCAGCAACGCCGCGUGAAGGAUGAAGGCUUUCGGGUUGUAAACUUCUUUGAUGAGGGACGAAAGAAAUGACGGUACCUCAAAAACAAGCCACGGCUAACUACGUGCCAGCAGCCGCGGUAAUACGUAGGUGGCGAGCGUUGUCCGGAAUUACUGGGUGUAAAGGGCGUGUAGGCGGGGAUGCAAGUCAGAUGUGAAAUGCCGGGGCUUAACUCCGGAGCUGCAUCUGAAACUGUGUUUCUUGAGUGUCGGAGAGGAAAGCGGAAUUCCCAGUGUAGCGGUGAAAUGCGUAGAUAUUGGGAGGAACACCAGUGGCGAAGGCGGCUUUCUGGACGAUAACUGACGCUGAGGCGCGAAAGCGUGGGGAGCAAACA
rnacentral:rRNA from 1 species